rnacentral:rRNA from 1 species
GACGAACGCUGGCGGCAUGCUUUACACAUGCAAGUCGAACGGUAACAGGUUAAGCUGACGAGUGGCGAACGGGUGAGUAAUGCAUCGGAACGUGCCCGGUCGGGGGGGAUAACGCAGCGAAAGCUGCGCUAAUACCGCAUACGAUCUGAGGAUGAAAGCGGGGGACCGUAAGGCCUCGCGCGAUCGGAGGGUCCGAUGUCAGAUUAGGUAGUUGGGGGGGUAAAGGCUCACCAAGCCGACGAUCUGUAGCUGGUCUGAGAGGACGACCAGCCACACUGGGACUGAGACACGGCCCAGACUCCUACGGGAGGCAGCAGUGGGGAAUUUUGGACAAUGGGCGCAAGCCUGAUCCAGCAAUGCCGCGUGCAGGAAGAAGGCCUUCGGGUUGUAAACUGCUUUUGUACGGAGCGAAAAGGCUCUCUCUAAUACAGGGGGCUCAUGACGGUACCGUAAGAAUAAGCACCGGCUAACUACGUGCCAGCCGCCGCCGUAA